CGAAUAAAAAGUUUUUAUAUUAAAUAUUAUAAUUUUACCACCAUCUUUUGGCGAAUAGAAUUUCAAUUGAGAAUCGUAAUUUCGACUCCAAUGCCUUUGUGGCUCCCAAAGAAGCCUUUGAAAAAAAAAGCAAUAAUCUCAUUAUCAUUCCUGUUAAUAACAUUAGACCUUAAACUCCCAAGCUCCAGACAAGCUUUCAAAUGAAACCCAGAAGCUUUAUCCCAGACUUUUUCUCCUUUAUAACAUAUAAGCAUGGUGUAGGUUGGGUGAAGGCCAUGAGAUUGAGGAAGGGGUUUGUAAUGGAUAUCGAUUGGCAGGUUUUUAGCUCUUAUCCCUAAAUCUCUUAACUUCAUUGCUUUGAAGUGGUUUCCAAAGAAGGUUAAUUCAUCUUUUUAUGCUUUUAUUUAUCUUCCCUCUUCUUUUUUUCCCUUGCCAUGAUGUUUCUUAUGUGAAAAUUUUGUUCCCAUCCUUGGAUUUUUCUAAAAGAGAAGGGCUAAAGAGGCAUUAUCCUCCACUUGAGAAGCGUUUAUUUUACUUGGUGCUACCUCUAGAAGAUUAUAGAUUGCUCGUAAAUGGCCAACUAGCAGGGAUUGUGUAUGGAGAAGCAAUGUGAAUCAUACACGUCUUAUUGAAGUCAAAGGAGGACAAAUUGGGUGCAUGAGAAAGAUUAGCUAUAAUGGUUCCCUGGUGGUGGCACUCAUUUCAAGCAUGGAGCAGCUGAUGAACUUAAGUUUCUUAUAUCACUUAUUCACUUUUGAACUGGUUAGUUUAUCAUUUAAUACAGUGGCAAUGAUACCAGUAAUUGAUGAUGUUUCCAAAACUCAAGCACUAUAAUGUUUCAUCUCUAAUGAUACAGGUUAGGAAAUAUGGUAACUAAUGAUACAUGUGAUCCAUGUUCAGCUGGGGUUGUUCAAGUUCUGGAUGUUAGCUAUGGUUUUGCUAGCUCAUCUUAUCUUUUUCCUUUGGAUAUACAAACAAUGUUUUUUGCUCCCAAAGAUGGCCAUAAAAAUUAGAUUCAAUUUGCUUUAUAACAAGGAAUCAGUGCCAUGACUUCUGUCCUUGCCACAAAUCAACAUCAUACCCCUCUGGCUCUUUUGAGAAUGUUCAUUGUUCGAGGUGUGUUUGCUUGGGUGUUCUAUUCUAGAUUUGGAGCAAUCUAUAGGUGUUAACCUAGCUUUCCAUUCCUUACUUCUUUCAUAUGAUUUCUUUGAGAUUGCAUUUUUUUCAGCACCAAGCUUCAAACCAUCUUCAUCUCUAAUUACUUUAAGAGUCAACCCAAUAUCCUCCAGUUCAGGUCAAGUAGCUCCAUGGGAAUUGUUGCUUUGUUUACAAGAAGACAUUAUUAGAUCUUUUUUUGGGCUACAAGAAGAGACCAAAUUAUGGUAAAUUUACAAGACUAAAAGGAGAAACUAGAUUACCGUCGCUGUGUUGCUGUCAUCGCAUAUGCAUCUUGGAGGGAGAUGACAAAACCUGGUGCCUUGCUGUUAUAUAUCCUAUGAUUAGUAGAUGGUUAAUUGCUUGCCAUUUGAAUUUACUUCUUUUGCUUACAUCUUUAAGGGUUAAGUGAAGUUUCCUAUACAUUUUUAUUAUUUGAAGGCCUUCUGUUUUGGAUUUUGGGGUAAUAUACAAGACAUUUUGUACUAGGGGCUAAAGUUUUGGCUUCCAUACUAAUGUUUGUGAUAGUUUCUGGUAUUCUCAUGGUUCUUUUCCUGAACAUAUCAGUUAGAUUUUGUGAAACUAUUUAGAUGUUUGGUAAAUGUUGUUAUCGUUAUGUUGUGUUUUUUACACAAAUGGUUGAUAUCCAUACCAAAUUUGCUAGAGAUAAGGAGAUUCUAGAAAAGCUAUAGAAAGAGUUUGAUGUCUAAACCAAAUAUUUCUCUCAUGUAUUGACCAUGCUUUGUUCCU